AAGCUCGUAGUUGAAUUUCGGCGUGCGCUCGGGCUGGUCGGCCGUCAUGGUCUGCACCGUUCGGGUCACGCCCCACUGUAGGAUACUCACCGUUGUCCUUAACUGGGUGGCGGUCAAAGGUGGUCGCGUGUGGGGGCAACUCUGCACACGGUCACUGGGGUUCCUACUCUUUUACUUUGAGCAAAUUAGAGUGUUCAAAGCAGGCAAUCGAGCCUUGAAUACUUCAGCAUGGGAUAAUGGAACAGGACUGGGGUCCUGAUUUCGUUGGUUU
rnacentral:rRNA from 1 species